rnacentral:tRNA from 1 species
UCUGCCGGAUGGCCGAGGCGUCGAGGCUGGCCGUGGUGCGGCCGAACUGGCGUUCGAGAUUGGCGCCGGCGGAA